rnacentral:rRNA from 1 species
UACGUAGGUGGCAAGCGUUGUCCGGAUUUACUGGGUGUAAAGAGCGCGCAGGCGGUCGUCCAAGUCGCGUGUGAAAGCCUCCGGCUCAACUGGGGAGGGUCACGCGAUACUGGUCGACUCGAAGGCAGGAGAGGGUAGUGGAAUUCCCGGUGUAGUGGUGAAAUGCGUAGAUAUCGGGAGGAACACCAGUGGCGAAGGCGACUACCUGGCCUGUUCUUGACGCUGAGGCGCGAAAGCUAGGGGAGCAAACGGG